UGCAUAAUUCGCUAAAAAGUAUUUCAAACUAUUUAACAUAUUGGUACUAUGUUUAUACUCUCUACCGCAGCUACUGUAUGAUGUCAUAGCAAUGACGUCACACUCAAGCCAAUCAGCCUUGAGGAGGAUAGACUCGUCGGACUGUAGCGGUUGUAAACAACUUGUCGCCCCGUGUGUCUGCCCGUGGCGCUAGUUAUCUGUCGAAGUUACCACUGACAAUGCCCAAAACAAGAACAACAAAGGCCCAAAGGUGGCUGUUUGGUAGUGCGCAAAGCUGCUGGUGGUGGUGGACGUCUCUGCCCUGACGCGCGGCGUGCGUCUGCUCAGUGUGGAGGUGCCGCUGACAGCGGUGCCGGCCGGACCGGCUGCCUCUCCGGCGGCCGACAUUGAGCGCGGCACGUGUCCGCCGCCGUUCGGGCCGCUGCAGCUGCUGCAGUCGGCGGCGCAGCUGUCCGUCUCCGUGUCGCUGGCCGUGCCGCUGGACCUGCUGCCGCGGCCGGCGCCGGCGCGCUGCGCCUACGGCCGCCUGCUGGCCGUCGUCUCGCAGCGCGGCCUGCAGCGCAGCGGCGUGCUGCAGCUCAUCCAGCAGCUCAACGAGCCGCCCAGCCCGGCGGCGGCCGAGGGCGCCGCGCCGCGCCGGCCCGGCGACGUCAGCACACCUGGCAUCAGCGGCUUCUGCCUGGCCGACCGUCAGCUGCACCUGCUGUUCGCCGAGGGGCGCGCCGACGCCGAGCUGGAACAGACGGCGGCCGCGCCGCGCGCUCUGCCGCGCCGCGACGCUCGACUCUGCCACCACUCGGGCCAACUGUUUAGGGAGCGCCUGUACCCGCGCCAGCCGGCCGCGUUCCGCGUGCUCGAGGACCGCCCGCUACGCGCCCAGCUGCUCGACACCCGCCUCUACACGUUACAGAAACAGGAGCCGGCGCGCGCCGUCCGCGCCAUCAGAGAGUGCUUCCGCACGCAGUGGCUGUCGGAAAAUGAACCUGCUUCCCAACGAGGCCGGCCUGCAACAACUGCUGGCCGGCUGUUGGCCGAAAAAAAAAACGCCUUCAACCGGAUGUCAGUUGUCAAAUCAACGCGUAUUAAUGCAUUCACUAGGAUGGGCUUACGUAAAGCUGUAGAAUUGCAAAUAUAUAAUGGCACUGUUUUUGA
rnacentral:lncRNA from 1 species